rnacentral:rRNA from 1 species
GAUGAACGCUGGCGGCGUGCCUAAUACAUGCAAGUCGAGCGAACAGACGAGGAGCUUGCUCCUUCGACGUUAGCGGCGGACGGGUGAGUAACACGUAGGUAACCUACCUAUAAGACUGGGAUAACUUCGGGAAACCGGAGCUAAUACCGGAUAAUAUUUCGAACCGCAUGGUUCGAUAGUGAAAGAUGGCUUUGCUAUCACUUAUAGAUGGACCUGCGCCGUAUUAGCUAGUUGGUAAGGUAACGGCUUACCAAGGCAACGAUACGUAGCCGACCUGAGAGGGUGAUCGGCCACACUGGAACUGAGACACGGUCCAGACUCCUACGGGAGGCAGCAGUAGGGAAUCUUCCGCAAUGGGCGAAAGCCUGGCGGAGCAACGCCGCGUGAGUGAUGAAGGUCUUCGGAUCGUAAAACUCUGUUAUUAGGGAAGAACAAACGUGUAAGUAACUGUGCACGUCUUGACGGUACCUAAUCAGAAAGCCACGGCUAACUACGUG